AUUGAACGCUGGCGGCAGGCCUAACACAUGCAAGUCGAGCGGAUGAAGGAAGCUUGCUCCUGGAUUCAGCGGCGGACGGGUGAGUAAUGCCUAGGAAUCUGCCUGGUAGUGGGGGAUAACGUCCGGAAACGGGCGCUAAUACCGCAUACGUCCUGAGGGAGAAAGUGGGGGAUCUUCGGACCUCACGCUAUCAGAUGAGCCUAGGUCGGAUUAGCUAGUUGGUGGGGUAAAGGCCUACCAAGGCGACGAUCCGUAACUGGUCUGAGAGGAUGAUCAGUCACACUGGAACUGAGACACGGUCCAGACUCCGACGGGAGGCAGCAGUGGGGAAUAUUGGACAAUGGGCGAAAGCCUGAUCCAGCCAUGCCGCGUGUGUGAAGAAGGUCUUCGGAUUGUAAAGCACUUUAAGUUGGGAGGAAGGGCAGUAAGUUAAUACCUUGCUGUUUGGACGUUACCAACAGAAUAAGCACCGGCUAACUUCGU
rnacentral:rRNA from 1 species